rnacentral:siRNA from 1 species
CGGCCUUUUCAGGUUGAUGC